UGUCCUGGCAGGGCAGGACUGCGAUCUUAAACAGUAGGGUCUUCUAACAGACCUCCAACUCAAGACAUGGCCAAGAAUGGCUUCGAACUCUAAAUCCUCACGUGCUGCGAUUACACGGCCAGGUCAUUUUGGAAGGAAUUUUCAGCAAACUGAGAAACUGUUAUUAGAGAUCCCAAAACACUUCAGUGCUACCACCUCUGCCAGACCAGAGGAUGGCGCGCCUGAGCUGCCUUUAAAAAACAACAAACAAACAAGAAACAACAACAAAAAGCAGGCCAGGGUCCCUGGGUGGCUGUCAUAAACAUCAGGCACGGUGGAGCUUUUGAGCAACAGAGCCUUCUUGUUCGAACUGUAUCGGCCUUAGGGCGCCAUCUGGUGGUUAGGUUUUUAUUGUUCCUGUGGCGAGUUGGCCGGAAGUGACUUAGCCUGAGUACCCAGGGCCAGGUGUUCCAGGAGGCCGGAGAACCUCUCCUUCAGGCUGAAGUCCAUACCAAGCCCUACCGCCUCUGGUCUACUGGGGCUUGGUGGCGGAGACCAUAGAGAUGAGCAUCUGUUGCAGUUUUGCCAAGGUGGAGCCCGGCUGCUAAGAGAGAAAGACCUGCUGCCACUCAUCUCCUGGACAUGCUACUGCUGUUUCCCUUGUUUCCAGAGGCACGACGGCUUUAGCCUCAGUCUAGGUAUCAAGUUCUGAGGCCAGCUUCUGUGACGUAGAGUUAAUGGUGGGUUGGGGCUCACUCCCUGUGCCCCCAGGAUAUGUCCACCUGCCUGCCAGAUAAUAAAUUCCUCUUGAAUUUCCA